AUCCAGUUGACGAGUCCCUGGAUAAGACGAUACGCGCGUCCUGGAU
rnacentral:hammerhead_ribozyme from 1 species